rnacentral:tRNA from 1 species
GGAGACGUGGGAGAGUGGUUUAAUCCAGCGGUCUUGAAAACCGCCGACCCGAAAGGGUCCGUGAGUUCGAAUCUCACCGUCUCCGCCA